rnacentral:lncRNA from 1 species
AAAUGGCCCGCCCCGCCACGGGCUCAAGUUCAGUCGGGUCACAGCGGGCUGGCCCGCCGCGGGAUGCGGUAUCGAGAAGCAAUGUCCAAUCCCGCCCCGCCUAGUGCACAGGUCUUUGCGGGUAGGCCCGCGGGUCACCAUCCAGAAGUUGAACGUCUCAUUUGAUGCUUAACUAUAGCUUUUGAGUCAAUGCUUCUCGAUACAGUCAUACAGAUCAACAAAAGAAGUAUAUGAACCUCUAUCAUACGUUUCAUCUCUACGUAUCUUACAUAACAUUACUCUUGUGUUCAAUACAAACAUAUUGAACCUUAUCGGGAAAACAUUAUUCUUGUGUUGAAUGGCAUGUAGUAUCAACAAGAAACUAAAACAGAAAUAAUCUUUGAUGCGUAUGCACUGAUGUGUAUGCAUAAGAAUGACAUUAAGUAACAACACCAAAUCUAAGUAAUCAUAUCCAAGUAAUGUAAAUGAACACCCAAACAAAAUCCAAACAAUGUAACGUGGCCUCGGUAAAAACCUUAUCGAGAAAACCCAUUGGGACAAAACCCGACAAGGAAAAAAGAGCGCCACAAAAUCCAUAAUGCGAAUAAAAAAAAAACACCAGAUCAAAAUAAAAAUCAAGUUUCUUCUUCUUCAACUUCAACUAUCUCUUCUUCACCAUCCAUUUCAUCUUCUGUAGAUAUUAAGAAUCGAAGUUAAUUAAAUUUAAAGAACAUGACACCCUAAAAUAUAUAACAAAGUGAAUAAUUUACCAUGUUCAUAAGCUUCGAAUCCUUUUAUCCAAUUCCUACUACAUAUCAGAGCCUGCACAUUUUUGGGAAGUAGACGGCUCCUGUAUUUGUUCAGAACUCUCGAACCGAUGCUAAAGGAGGAUUCUGAAGCCACUGUUGUGAUCGGAAUGCUAAGCAGAUCACAAGCCAUUGCUGGCAAAUCACCAAAUCUGUGAGUAUUAUCUUUCCACCAGUCGAGAAUAUCCAAACUUUCAAAGCUAUCCAUAUCUAGUGCAGGUUCAUCCAAAUAAGCUUGGAGAGCUGUCUUUCCACUCGCAGCAACACUACUUUUGCGAAACGCAAAAAAAUCCUGUAGUGUUUAAAAAAAAAUUUAAAAACAAUUUGAUGGAAUAUCAAAACUUUCAAAGCUAUCUAUAUCUACCGCAGGUUCAUAAGUAAUUUAAAAAAAAAAAACGAAACAGGAGACUUACACCAUAGUUCUCAAAUGUUCCUUUCGGUCCUCCAUGAACAUUUUGUUGAUCCAUCUCACGAGGCUCUGCAGAAGGUGAUGUUGACUUUGAUUUUUUGUCGUAUGAUUGAAACAAAGUUUCCAGCUUCAGACGCAAGUUCUUCAUUUUCGCAUCACGUGUACUCAUGUCAAGUCUCCCUAAACAAUACUCUACAACUGGAAGCUUCAAGCGUGGAUCAAAGACAGCUGUCAUUGCAAAAAGAUCACUGAAUUCUUCCCAGUACUUAUCGAACUUCUCUUUCAUCGGUAUCACCAUCUCUCGGAUAAUCUCAUCAUCGCUUUCCUCAUUUAUCUGCAGCCAAUUAUGGAUCUUCCAUACCUGAUAGAAAUACAAGUUUGAUGUUGGGUAUUUCGAACCUGACAUCAAACUAGUAAUCUUAGCAAAAGGCUCCAAGAAAACACAUAUUUUCGCAGCUCUGCUCCAUUCUGUAGCUGUAGGCAAAAACUUAUAGUUUCUCCUAUCAUAUAUCUCCAACUUAACAAACGCUUCACGGUACGGAAGGGCUCUUUCAAGCAUAUAGAAUGUCGAGUUCCAUCUUGUCUGCACAUCCAUUAUCAAACCAGCAUUCUCCUUUAUACCAGCAGCAUCCACGCAUUUUGCAAACGUCAUCUCACGCGUUUCUGACGCUGUUACAUACUUAACACUCUCUCUAACUUUGUGCAAAGAGUCUUUAAUAACCUUCAAACCAUCUUGCACAAUGAGGUUGAGUAUGUGAGCUGCACAUCUGACGUGAAAAAACUCACCUCCACACAACAAAUCAUUGCUCAAAAGCACCUGAGUUUUCACUAUAUCUUGCAUCGAAUCAUUACUUGUAGCAUUGUCUAAUGUGAGAGAGAACAUUUUUUUCUCUAGUCCCCACUCUUCCACAGAUUCAAGAAGCUUUAAAGCAACAUUCAUACCUGUGUGAGGCGGUGGGAGAGCACAAAAAGUCAGUAUUUUACUGUUUAGCCUCCAAUUUCGGUCAAUGUAAUGUGCUGUCAGACACAUAUAACCCUUCCGUUUCAGUGAUGACCACAAAUCAGAAGUGAAGCUUACUCUUCCUGGAAGACUAGCCAAUUCCCUCUUCAAUGUCUCUCUCUCGUUUUCAUAAAACCGAUAGACCUCUGCUUUAGCUGUGUUCCGACAAAAGAAUUUGACGUCAGGAUUCAAGUGCUUCCAAGUUUCUCUGACUUGCUCAUACUCAACAUAUGAGUAAGGUAGGUCAUGCUGGAUUAUAGUCUUGGUUACCAGCUGCUUGAACACAACAUGAUCAUACUUGCCACUUACUAAUUUGGCUUCAGCAUCAAGUUUUUUUGUUCGGAGAUUCCUUGGAAAGAGUUUGCAUCUGUCACGAUGCCUUCUCAAACCACUUGUUCCAUGCCCGUGGGAAGUCCAUGCAUAGUCAUUCUUACAAUAAUUGCAUUUAGCUUUCUGCUCACCAUUGGAAUUUUGAAUCUUAGUAAAAUGGGGCCAUACAUCAGACCACUGCCUACCCUCCUUCUCGUUCUCCAUCUCGUUCUCCAUCUCGUCCUCUUCAAAUUCACCUUCAGAAUCAAGCUGCUCCUCUUGAAUCUUCUUCUUAUUCUUGCCAUUACCUUGUGUCGGCCUGGAGCUUUUUCUCCCCCCACGGAUGGUAAAGUGAAUAGAUUUGGUUUUGGUUUUCCUUUUACUCGCCUUAGGAGACGAAGACGAUCCAAUGCCACCGUCUAGAGUAGACUGCAACAUUGGUUUCUUUGAUUUCAAGGCUCGCACGGUUCCGCAGGUGGCUUGUUUGCGCAGAGUAGUAGCUUGUAUUGGUGGAGGAGUGAUUUCAACAUCACUAUCAUCUUCAUCAUCAUCAGCUUGAAUAAGCCUUCUCUUCUUUCUUUGCUUCUUUUUUGCUCCAUCAGAUGAACCAUCAUCAGCCUCAUCAGCUGCCAAAAUAACUCCAAGGACUCGCUGGCUCUCAAAAUCCAUUGUAUUCAACGGUGUGAAAUUUGGAUCGAAACUUGAACCAUCAUCUGUCAUCUCUUUCUCUCUUCUUCGUUAGAGACUUAGAGAUAGAGUUUAGGUUUCUGCGUCGUUUUUUUUUUUGCUUAGGUCGUGAGUUUAGGUAAUAUUGUUUAGGGUUCUGUUUCUAUUUUUUUUUGCAAUUUUAAAAAUUAUAGCAACUAUUCUCUUAUUUCUCAUUGGUCAGAGACUCAACCAUUAUAAGAAAUUUUUAUUAUCUAAACUAUCAGACGUAAAGAUCAAGUCUCAUACUCAAAUCCUAUCAAACUAUCAAACUAAACAAUCAAGAGCAAGCAACCAUAUCAUAUGUAAGAGACGAUCAAGAACAAGCAACCAUCCACGCAUAGACGAUCAAGUACUAGUAAGUAGUAACCUAUUACCUAAAUUCUAUCAGCUAUAAGAACAGAAGAACACAACAACACAAGAAACAAAAAGAUCUAUGUACUAGUAACCUAUUACCUAAAUUCUAUCAGCUAUAAGAACACAAGAACACAACAACACAAGAAACAAAGAGAUCUAUGUACUAGUAACCAAGUAUCUAAAUUCUAUCAGCUCUUAUCAUAAGAACUGGAGACGACAUAAAAAAAAAAAUAGAACAGAGACUAACCUGAGGUCCUUUGCCUUAUAGAUCGGAAUGCAAGUGUGAAGUGUCCUUUGCAUUCUCAUAUCGUUCUCCUCCUUGAUCAUAAUACAAUCCCCCACUCACCACAUGUCAUUAUAAAGAAAAAGUUUUAGAAAAUAGAUGACUAAAAUCACUUGAGUUUAUAUGAUAAGGACAUUAAGAAACAACAGGCCGAACAUACUUCUGAUUUCAAUAUCAAGACCGAACAGAGCGAAAACAGAGUAUAAAAACAAACAUCAAUAUUCUUUGUUCACGCAGACAUCGCAAAAGAUGAGAACAAACAACAAUAUUCUUGUUCACGCAAACAUCAAAAUCUUUGGAUUGUUACAAACACUUGUGUUUAACUCAUGAUGAGAACAAACAACAAUAUUCUUGUUCACGCAAACAUCGCAAAAGAAGCUCCAUAUAUUCUCGAUAAGAAGCUGUUUGAUAAGAGAUAACAAUGAGACAGGACAACUUACACGAUUGGUCAUUGUGUAGCCGGUUGAUUAGAGACAAAACAGACCCAAUAUCUUGUUCUUCUUUCA